AACAAGGUAUCUGUAGGUGAACCUGCAGAUGGAUCAUUUCGAUGAAAACCUUUUUUCUGAGGUGUGGCUCGCACCUGUCUAACUAAAUUUGAGCUACCUUUUUUAACACGGUUGCAUCGGUUGGGCUGUCGAAUAGCGCGAAAGCGGUAAGCGAUGGUCUGACAAUCAAUUUAACACUUUUGAUGAUCUAGGAUUUGAAGGAAGUUCAUUUUUACGAUGGAACCGACUGGUAAUGCGGUCGUCUAAAUCUAAAAAACAACUUUUGGCAACGGAUCUCUUGGUUCUCCCAUCGAUGAAGAACGCAGCGAAUUGCGAUAAGUAAUGUGAAUUGCAGAAGUGAAUCAUCGAAUCUUUGAACGCACCUUGCGCUCCCUGCAGAUCUAAUCUGGGGAGCAUGCCUGUUUGAGGGCCGCGAAUUGUUUCGAACGACAGCUUUUUUCUUUGCAAGAAGGCUGGCGGAUCGGUAGUGAGGGUUUUGCCAUUUCACCGUGGCUCCCUCGAAAUGCAUUAGUGCAUCCAUUUGAUAGGCAAGGCGGACGAAAGCUCGACUUUUCGCCCACUCCUUCCCUGCCGGGUUUUGAUAAUAUCAGGACUUCGGAGGCGAAGGGAUGGGUAUAGAGCUGGACGCGACGCUUUGCUGGUUGGAGUGCUUCUGAACCCCGCCCAUGACCUGUUCGCAGGGAAGGGAUUUUUUCAAUUCAUC
rnacentral:misc_RNA from 1 species